CGGCUAUUCAAUGAAUCGGGUGUUCGUAUUGUAUCGUGUGCAUUUUUCUAUAAACUUCGCUUUGCAUUAAAAUACGAAAAUGAAAUGGAAGGGGAGAGGGUAUGACAGCCGCCUAACAAAUAAAUGCAACUGUUCCUUUCUCAAUUACUCCUUUAGACUGUGAGGAAUGCCCACAGAUGUGUAUAAAUGAAAUAAAUGCAGCCAUAAGGUUUUUGGAGCAUGAACUAAAACUGGAAUUGAAUGAAAAGAGAAUAUAAAUAAAAAACAUAACCCAGAAAAAGUUUUUCAAAAUAAAUAAAACAAAAAACCAAAAACAUGAGAAGGGAAUUGGAAGCGUCAAUAAAAAAAAAAAACCAAAGACUUCAUGCACACCAGAAGAGGGAUUUGAAACCACAACAAUAAAAGGCAAGGAAUAGAGAAAACUAAAAACAAUAAACCAAAAGCCAACUAAAGAACAUUUGAAUGGUUCAAAUGCAAGACAGAGAAUAAAACGAAGACAAACAAAGAACAAAAACGAAAGAGAAGAAGAAAUAAAAUAGAAAAUAACCAAAAAAAAAAAAUAUAUUAUGGAAAUAAAAACGAAUAACAACAACUACAACAAUAGACUGAAUUAGAGUCCAAAUAUUUUUAAAUGUAAAACGCAUCAUCAACGCAGCAUUACAAUAAAACAACAACCAUUACAACAACAACAUCAAUUACUUUAAUAGUAAUAUAUAGACAAACUAAACAAAAGAAAUUUAAGCCAUACAUUCAAUUCCAUAUUGUAGUCAAAAUAUUCAGUAACGGCAACAGCAACUUGAAAAAUUGCUGCUAACCACUCAACAACAACAACAACGUCAAAUAAAUGCAAUUAAUUUAAACAUAUCAUAAUCUAAUUACAAUUUAUAUUAAUUUAACAACAACAACAACAACAACCAAUACAACAACAAAAAUAUAAAUAAAAGAAUUGCAUUUAAAUAUUUAUUCAAAGAAAAUAUUGAAAAAUCAAAACCCUAAGAAAGAAGAAAACAAGCAAUAUUACCACAAUUCUCAAUUCUUAGUAUCAGAAAUACACUUUAUACAACAACAA